rnacentral:piRNA from 1 species
CGUGUGCCUGUGUGUGCGAUCACAUGU